rnacentral:rRNA from 1 species
UACGGGGGGGGCAAGCGUUGUUCGGAAUUACUGGGCGUAAAGGGCUCGUAGGCGGCCAACUAAGUCAGACGUGAAAUCCCCAGGCUCAACCUGGGAACUGCGUCUGAUACUGGAUGGCUUGAAUCCGGGAGAGGGAUGCAGAAUUCCAGGUGUAGCGGUGAAAUGCGUAGAUAUCUGGAGGAAUACCGGGGGCGAAGGCGGCAUCCUGGACCGGCAUUGACGCUGAGGAGCGAAAGCCAGGGGAGCAAACGGG